rnacentral:rRNA from 1 species
UACGGGGGGGGCAAGCGUUGUUCGGAAUUACUGGGCGUAAAGGCUCGUAGGCGGCCAACUAAGUCGGAUGUGAAAUCCCCAGGCUCAACUUGGGAACUGCAUCCGAUACUGGAUGGCUUGAAUUCGGGAGAGGGAUGCAGAAUUCCAGGUGUAGCGGUGAAAUGCGUAGAUAUCUGGAGGAACACCGGUGGCGAAGGCGGCUCACUGGCCCGGUACUGACGCUGAGGUGCGAAAGCGUGGGGAGCAAACAGG